AGUUCAGUCGGUAGAACGGCGGACUGUUAAUCCGUAUGUCACAGGUUCAAGUCCUGUC
rnacentral:tRNA from 2 species